AGGAAACAGCUGCCAGUUACACAAAAUCCAUAAAGAAAGGUAAUCUGAGCUCCAGAGAUGAAUUCACAGAAGCAUUUCCUCGUCCUGCUCCGCCGGUGAUGCAGAUCAGAACAACACAGCGGCAGAUUUCAACACCAGGCGGAGCUCAGAUCACCAUGUCCAACGUCUGUGGAGUUCAGAUCGGCAACAACAACAGCAUGAAUAUAGUUCAGAAACCGCGGCAGAGGCACCGGACGGCUCCUUCCAGCGUCGGCAGGUCACAGAACUCGGAGAACUCACAGAAAAAACCUCAGUGACAUCUUCACACAGGAAUCAGCUCUCGUUCAGCUCUCAGGAGUUGAGAGUGUUUUAGUGGCUAGACUAUAACUGAGUCAAAGGGAAAUAGAAUUUCAAUGCGGCUGAAAAAUAUUCAGGCCUAAAUGUAGGAUUCAUGUAUUUGAACCGCAUAUAAAAUAUCCAUGCAUUUGGAUUACACAGUAUAACAUUAACUAACCAAUAAAUGUAAUGAGAUGCAUAUUUGUUAGUCGUGCAUAAAGUCAGAUUAAUAAUAAACCACGCAAUGUUUUUGUUACUUGAAAUAAAC
rnacentral:lncRNA from 1 species